GCUCUAGUAGCUUAAU
rnacentral:tRNA from 1 species